GCCCAGCGUUGAUUUCCUCUGCCUUUUGCUCUCUCCCAAUCACUCGCAUUCAUCUCUUCAAAUUGUUUUCUUCUUCACUAAUUUAUGUAUGUUCCUUUUUUCUUCAGUUCUAUACAUAUUGUGCUUCAAAUUUUAUCUCUAUAUUUCCUAUGGCUUCCAUGAGAACUCAAAGGAGGGUCUACGUCAUCACCAUCACCUUCUUCUUUUUCUUCAGUUCAAUUUCUGUUGCAAUCAGUGCUUAUACUAUUACAUGUAGUGUGUGACCCCUGCCCUUUUAUAUAUAUUUUUAGAUGAUGAUGCCAAUGUUCUUUUCAUACCUUGAUUGACUGUAAAAUAGGGAGGAGGAUUUUCAUAGGAUGAAUUUCAAUUGAGGCUACUGAUAUUGAAUGUGCACAAGCAUUUCUGUCAAUCUAAUUGUGUUUUUUCUAUUUCUUUUUUUUUUUUUGGAUAAAAAUCCUGAUAUGUUGUAAUGAAUUUAUAUAUUAUGAUGAUUUGGAAAUGUAUUCGUGUGAUAUAUCCUUCUUUCAUAAUGAGAAUAUAGUCAGGAUCUUUUCUUUUCCUUUCCUUUUUUGACAGUUUCUAGUCAAUAUUAGAUAUGAUAUAUAUGGUUUCAAUUAUUAGGUUUUAAUAGGAUGAAGUAAAGUUAAAUUGAGCCUACAAGCUAUACUUUUAGUUGCCUUUCUCACAUUUAUCUCAUGUAGUGUAUUUGAGUUAAUCUACAUGAGAGCAUGAGUUGUGAAUUUUGGCAAAGUUUUAAAAGCUAUUACUUUUAUUUUUUCUCAAUCACACUAUGAUCAAAUAAGCAUUAACUCAGUCUUUAUUCUAGAAUAUGUACUUAUAAUUAAAAAGUCUACAAAUACUUUUGAAAGCUUCAAACAAUUUCACCCUUGAUGUAAUCUUCUUCCUGGGACUUGCCUACUUGAUAGUUAAGGGCCUUACGGCCUAACCAUUAUAUUGUUAAUAUCUUUCUUCAAAAUAAACCAGCAUAUCAAGCUAAUGUAGAAGUUGUGAUUUUUCCUUUAUAUCACCGGAGGAAUCGGCUAGCAACAUAGAGGAGCCUAUGUCUAUCUUGGAGCAUAUUAUCUGGUUGAGACACUAGUAUGUGCUGUUGUGGCCUUUGUUAAAUCCUUAAAAGUCCUUCAGAUUGGAUUUAAAGACAGGGUGUAUUAUACAAGCUUAUUUAUUUAUAUUGCUAAAAUGUACAAGCAUUUUUGUUUGCUCAUGGAACAAGUUUCACAAAUUGGCAAAAGUAGGUUACUAGUACAAAAAUUCUUCCUUUCUACAAAAUUGUCCCCCCACCCUCCCUCCCUUCUUCUAAUUCAUCUUCUUCUUUAUACUGUAAUUUAUGUCAACUUUAUCAUAUAGCAUGAAUUUUCGAAGCCUUCUAACUAUUUCAGACUAGAGUAAUUGGUGUCAAAUCUAUAUUUUAUUAAAAUUGGUGGUAAUUGAAAUGCGCUAGGCCUUUAGACUAAAAUAGUUUUGAAUGCUUAGUUGGAUUUUUAUUGAUGUUUCUGGUUUUCAAAGCUAGAGUGGGGACAUAUCAGUGAGACUAUUUUAGUAGAUGAGAUAAUAAUAGAGAGCAAUUUAUGUUUCUACUUUCUUAAGUUUAUUGUUAAUGAAAUUUCUCUUUCUUAAAAGAAGAAAAUUAAAAAUAUAAAUAGAAAAACUGCAAAACAAGAGACUCGAAGGGACUCUCACCAAAGUUACUCCACCUUUAGGUUCUUUACAAUUAGACCAACCACUUCUUUAUUGUGGCUUGCAACUUAUUUUACUUGAUUGUUCUAACCAACCAUACAUGCUGUCAUAUUGGUGGCUUCAGCUUUCUUUACAUUCCAAUCACUUCUGCAUUUGUGCUAAUGCCCUACUUUUAUCAGUGUAGAUUAGAAGGCACACCUUUAGAUUUACCAAUUGCUAAUGAAAUACAUGUAUCCAUAGUAAAGAUGCAAAAUUGCUUAGGUAAGGUAGGUGGCUCAAUCUUAUUAUGGCAUCCCAUUUGCAAGUGUCCAAGUAUUAUGCUAAUUUUCAUAUUCACCUUGUGUAGUGCUGGCAGAAGCAAGAGAAAUUAUCCUCAUAAAUUUUUUAAAUGUGAAAACUAGAGACUGUGUAGUCUCUACCAUGUCUAUACUUCAUAAUCAUUGGUGACAUGCCUUCUAGAAAACGCAAGGAGGAACUCCACUUAUACUGAUUAUUAAUGAGUAAAUUGCUAUUAUUUUUUGUUUUGAUUAUAGUACCAUACUAACUCAAGUUUUCACAUAUAUGCAGAUGAUAACAAUUAACAAGUCAGCAGAAGAUGACACUCGUGUUUUGUUUAUACUUUGUCUAGCUGCUAAAUGGGAAGGAUUUUCAUAGGAGGAUUUCAGUUGAGGCUAUGGCUACUGGAUGUGCAUAAGCAUUUCUGUCAGUCUGAUUGGUAUGUUGUAUUGAAUUUAUAUAUGGUUUUGGUUAUAAUGAUUUGGAAAUGUAUUCAAGUGACGUAUCCUUGUAUCUUGUUUCAUAAAGACAGUAGAGCCAGGAUCUUUUCUUUCAUCUUCUUCUUUUUAUUUUUUAUUUUUAUAUGGUUUCAGUUAUGACAAUUUUCAUAGGAUGAACCGAUGAUGUUCAUAAUUGUUAUUGGAUAGCCUACAAGGCACAAGCUAUACUUUCAGAGGAAUCAGCUGGAAACAUACAGGGAGAAUAUGUCAAUCUUGGAGCAUAUUAUCUGGUUGAGAGUCCAGUAGGUGCCGCUUUGGUCUUUCUUGUAUGCCCAACGUCCUUUGGAUUGGAUUUAGAGAGAGGGCCUAUUGUAAAAGCAUUUCUAGUUGC